UACGGAAGGCAGCAGUGGGGAAUAUUGCACAAUGGGCGCAAGCCUGAUGCAGCCAUGCCGCGUGUAUGAAGAAGGCCUUCGGGUUGUAAAGUACUUUCAGUCGUGAGGAAGGUGUUAAGGUUAAUAACCUUAGCAAUUGACGUUAGCGACAGAAGAAGCACCGGCUAACUCCGUGCCAGCAGCCGCGGUAAUACGGAGGGUGCGAGCGUUAAUCGGAAUUACUGGGCGUAAAGGGCACGCAGGCGGUUAAUUAAGUUGGAUGUGAAACUCCCCGGGCUUAACCUGGGAAUGGCAUUCAAGACUGGUUAGCUAGAGUCUUGUAGAGGGGGUAGAAUUCCAUGUGUAGCGGUGAAAUGCGUAGAGAUGUGGAGGAAUACCGGUGGCGAAGGCGGCCCCUGGGACAAGACUGACGCUCAUGUGCGAAAGCGUGGGGAGCAAACG
rnacentral:rRNA from 1 species